rnacentral:tRNA from 1 species
CCUGGGUUAGCUCAGUUGGUAGAGGGUUCCACUUGUAAUGGAGAGGUCCUGGGUUCGAUACCCGGACCAGGCG